rnacentral:sRNA from 1 species
GGCGGAAAACCGAAGUCAGAAGUCUCUCUUAGCAGCACGCGGAGAAGAACGGGGAGCCAGCAUCAUGGCAGAACAGGAUGUGGAAAACGAUCUUUUGGAUUAUGAUGAAGAGGAAGAGCCCCAGGCUCCUCAAGAGAGCACACCGGCUCCCCCUAAGAAAGACAUCAAGGGAUCCUACGUUUCCAUCCACAGCUCUGGCUUCCGGGACUUUCUGCUGAAGCCGGAGCUCCUGCGGGCCAUCGUGGACUGUGGCUUUGAGCAUCCUUCUGAGGUCCAGCAUGAGUGCAUUCCCCAGGCCAUCCUGGGCAUGGACGUCCUGUGCCAGGCCAAGUCCGGGAUGGGCAAGACAGCGGUCUUCGUGCUGGCCACCCUACAGCAGAUUGAGCCUGUCAACGGACAGGUGACGGUCCUGGUCAUGUGCCACACGAGGGAGCUGGCCUUCCAGAUCAGCAAGGAAUAUGAGCGCUUUUCCAAGUACAUGCCCAGCGUCAAGGUGUCUGUGUUCUUCGGUGGUCUCUCCAUCAAGAAGGAUGAAGAAGUGUUGAAGAAGAACUGUCCCCAUGUCGUGGUGGGGACCCCGGGCCGCAUCCUGGCGCUCGUGCGGAAUAGGAGCUUCAGCCUAAAGAAUGUGAAGCACUUUGUGCUGGACGAGUGUGACAAGAUGCUGGAGCAGCUGGGCUCCCCUCCCUGAAGCGUGGCUCGAGGCGCACGGGCACGGCUGCUCCGCGCCAGCGUACAUGCGGCGGGAUGUGCAGGAGAUCUUCCGCCUGACACCACACGAGAAGCAGUGCAUGAUGUUCAGCGCCACCCUGAGCAAGGACAUCCGGCCUGUGUGCAGGAAGUUCAUGCAGGAUGUGAGUAGGGCGAGAGUGGCAGCUUCAGCCUUCCCCAGGGGCCUGGAGCCUGGGGCCCCAGGACACCCGCACGGCCCACAUGGCACGGAGGAUGCUGGGAUGCUGGGAGCCGGCAGAGCCUCCUUUCCUCCCCUCGGUCUUGUCAAACUGGGAGUCAAGCUUGGUCCACACCUGAGUCGGGCCAGAGCUUACAUCCAGCUUUUGAGCGAUGUUUACUGAGGUCUGGUGCAGCAGGUCCUCUGGGAAGUGUCGCACAAAGGAGUCGCCCACUGGAAGGUUCUGGGCAGGCGAGAUGCCCAGAGGUGAUACCUGCCCGCCCCUCCCACCUCCCUUCCCACACAGCCCAUGGAGGUGUUUGUGGACGACGAGACCAAGCUCACGCUGCACGGCCUGCAGCAGUACUACGUCAAACUCAAAGACAGUGAGAAGAACCGCAAGCUCUU